CGGAGGGGGCAAGCGUUGUUCGGAAUUAUUGGGCGUAAAGGGCAUGUAGGCGGUUUGGUAAGUUAAAGGUGAAAUACCAGGGCUUAACCCUGGGGCUGCUUUUAAUACUGCAGGACUAGAGUCCGGAAGAGGAUAGCGGAAUUCCUAGUGUAGAGGUGAAAUUCGUAGAUAUUAGGAGGAACACCAGUGGCGAAGGCGGCUGUCUGGUCCGGUACUGACGCUGAGGUGCGAAAGCGUGGGGAGCAAACAGGAUUA
rnacentral:rRNA from 1 species